rnacentral:tRNA from 1 species
UAGCUCAGUGGUAGAGUACUUGCCUAGCAUGCAUGAGGACCUGAGUUCAAUCCUCAG